rnacentral:rRNA from 1 species
UACGUAGGGGGCAAGCGUUGUCCGGAUUUAUUGGGCGUAAAGAGCGUGUAGGCGGCCAAGCAGGUCCGCUGUGAAAACUCGAGGCUCAACCUCGAGACGUCGGUGGAAACCGUUUGGCUAGAGUCCGGAAGAGGAGAGUGGAAUUCCCGGUGUAGCGGUGAAAUGCGCAGAUAUCAGGAGGAACACCAAUUGCGAAGGCAGCUCGCUGGGACGUUACUGACGCUGAGACGCGAAAGCGUGGGGAGCAAACAGG